rnacentral:rRNA from 1 species
AACGCGAAGAACCUUACCUGGGUUUGACAUCCCCGGACAGCCCUAGAGAUAGGGUUUCCUCUUCGGAGGCCGGGAGACAGGUGCUGCAUGGCUGUCGUCAGCUCGUAUCGUGAGAUGUCGGGUUAAGUCCCUUAACGAGCGCAACCCUUAUCCCUAGUUGCCAUCAUUUAGUUGGGCACUCUAUGGAGACCGCCGGUGUUAAACCGGAGGAAGGUGGGGAUGACGUCAAGUCCUCAUGGCCCUUAUGUCCAGGGCUACACACGUGCUACAAUGGCCGAUACAGAGGGUUGCUAACCCGCGAGGGGGAGCUAAUCUCAUAAAGUCGGUCUCAGUUCGAAUUGAAGUCUGCAACUCGACUUCAUGAAGCUGGAAUCGCUAGUAAUCGCGGAUCAGCAUGCCGCGGUGAAUACGUUCCCGGGCCUUGUACACACCGGACACGC